UACGUAGGCAGCGAGCGUUGUUCGGAAUUACUGGGCGUAAAGAGUGUGUAGGCGGUGUUCCCAGUCUGUUGUGAAAUCUCCCGGCUUAACUGGGAGGGUGUAGCGGAAACUAGAAUGCUAGAGGGUGGGAGAGGUAAGCGGAAUUCCUGGUGUAGCGGUGAAAUGCGUAGAUAUCAGGAGGAACACCUGUGGUGUAGACAGCUUACUGGACCACUUCUGACGCUGAGACACGAAAGCGUGGGUAGCAAACAGG
rnacentral:rRNA from 1 species